rnacentral:rRNA from 1 species
GCCUAACACAUGCAAGUCGAGCGGCAGCGCGAGUAGUUUACUACUUGGCGGCGAGCGGCGGACGGCUGAGUAACGCGUGGGAACACGCCCCAAAGUGAGGGAUAACUGCUCGAAAGGGUAGCUAAUACCGCAUAUGGUCUUCGGAUUAAAGGAUUUAUCCGCUUAGGGAGUGGCCUGCGUACGAUUAGAUAGUUGGUGAGGUAAUGGCUCACCAAGUCGACGAUCGUUAACUGGUCUGAGAGGAUGAUCAGCCACAUUGGGACUGAUAGACGGCCCAAACUCCUGCGGGAGGCAGCAGUGGGGAAUAUUGGACAAUGGGCGAAAGCCUGAUCCAGCCAUGCCGCGUGAGUGAUGAAGGCCUUAGGGUUGUAAAGCUCUUUCACCGGAGAAGAUAAUGACGGUAUCCGGAGAAGAAGCCCCGGCUAACUUCGUGCCAGCCGCCGCAGUAA